GUGUCAGCCGCCGCGGUAAGACAGAGGGUGCAAACGUUGCUCGGAAUCACUGGGCGUAAAGGGCGUGUAGGCGGGUAGAUAAGUCGGGCGUGAAAUCCCUAGGCUCAACCUAGGAACUGCACUCGAAACUGUUUAUCUUGAGUGCCGGAGAGGAAAGCGGAAUUCCUGGUGUAGAGGUGAAAUUCGUAGAUAUCAGGAGGAACACCAGUGGCGAAGGCGGCUUUCUGGACGGUAACUGACGCUGAGACGCGAAAGCGUGGGGAGCAAACAGGAUUAGAAACCCUUGUAGUCC
rnacentral:rRNA from 1 species